AUUGAACGCUGGCGGCAGGCCUAACACAUGCAAGUCGAGCGAGCGGCGGAAGGGUGAGUAAUGUCUGGGAAACUGCCUGAUGGAGGGGGAUAACUACUGGAAACGGUAGCUAAUACCGCAUACCAUCAGAUGUGCCCAGGUGGGAUUAGCUAGUAGGUGGGGUAACGGCUCACCUAGGCGACGAGCCCUAGCUGGUCUGAGAGGAUGACCAGCCACAUUGGAACGGAGACACGGGCCAGACUCUUACGUGAGGCAGCAGGGGGGAAUAUUGCACAAUGGGCGCAAGCCUGAUGCAUCCAGGCCGCGUGGGUGAAGAAGGCCGUCGGGUUGUAAAGCACUUUCAGCGGGGAGGCGUUACCCGCAGAAGAAGCACCGGCUAACUCCGUGCCAGCAGCCGCGGUAAUUC
rnacentral:rRNA from 1 species